UCCUACGGGGGGCAGCAGUGAGGAAUAUUGGUCAAUGGGCUUACGCCUGAACCAGCCAAGUCGCGUGAGGGAAGACUGCCCUAUGGGUUGUAAACCUCUUUUGUCAGGGAGCAACGCCGGCUACGUGUAGCCGGACUGAGAGUACCUGAAGAAAAAGCAUCGGCUAACUCCGUGCCAGCAGCCGCGGUAAUACGGAGGAUGCGAGCGUUAUCCGGAUUUAUUGGGUUUAAAGGGUGCGCAGGCGGAGGUGCAAGUCAGCGGUCAAAUUGCGGGGCUCAACCCCGUACUGCCGUUGAAACUGCAUC
rnacentral:rRNA from 1 species